UGUGGGACAGUGCGGGCCAGUGUGGGCCAAUGUGGGAUAGUGUGGGCCAAUGGGACAGUGUGGGCCAAGUGGGACAGUGUGGGCCAAUGUGGGCCAGUGUGGGCCAGUGUGGGCCAGUGUGGGCCAAGUGGGACAGUGU